rnacentral:rRNA from 1 species
UUUGGUGACAUGAGCGAAGGGGAAACACCCAGCUCCAUCCCGAACCUGGAAGUUAAGCCCUUCAGCGCUGAUGAUACUACUCUGGAAGCGGAGUGGGAAAGUAGGCCGUUGCCAAAA